rnacentral:rRNA from 1 species
CCUACGGGUGGCAGCAGUGGGGAAUAUUGGGCAAUGGAGGCAACUCUGACCCAGCAAAGCCGCGUGAAUGAUGAAGGUCUUCGGAUUGUAAAGUUCUUUUCUAAGGGAAGAAGAAAGUGACGGUACCUUAGGAAUAAGCCUCGGCUAACUACGUGCCAGCAGCCGCGGUAAUACGUAGGAGGCAAGCGUUAGCCGGAAUGACUGGGCGUAAGGGGUGCGUAGGUGGUUUGACAAGUUAGUAGCGCAACUCCGGGGCUCAACUUCGGAAUUACUACUAAAACUGUUGGAAUUGAGUGCAGGUGGGGCAAUCGGAAUUCCUGGUGUAGCGGUGGAAUGCGUAGAUAUUAGGAAGAACACCAGUGGCGAAGGCAGAUUGCUAGACUGUAACUGACACUGAGGCACGAAAGCGUGGGGAGCAAACAGGAUUAGAUACCCGUGUAGUC